CUCAUACAUAUGCAUAUAUAUAUUUUUAUUUUACUUGUCAUUUAACUGUGGCCAUGCUGGAGCACUUCUUUUUAGUCGGACAAAUUAAUCCCAGGACUUAUUCUUUGCAAACCUGGUACUUAUUCUAUCAGUCUACUUUGCUGAACCACUAUGUUACGGGAAUGUAAACACACCAGAUCCACUCACAAGGCUUUGGUUGGCCCAAAGCUAUAGUAGAAGACACUUACCCAAGGUGCCAUGCAGUGGGAAUGAACCUGGAACCAUGUGGUUGCGAAAGAAGCUUCUUUCAACACAGCCUUAUUUAUUUUUGAUAAAAUGUCAAGAAUUUUAAUUUGGAAGGGGGUUAAUGAUGUUAUCAUGAUAUUUUCUUUCUGUUGUUCAGUUCUUUGUUUAAUGAUUAAUGGUUCCUGUUUUUGCAGAAAAUUUUAAAAAUAUUUAAUUUGUUUUUUGAAAUAUCAUUGAUUUCUAUUUUAGUAUUCAUUUUAUGAUGGUUGUAUCCACCUGGUCGAUUACAGGCUGACACGUAUAUAUGUACACAUACAUCAUCAGCGUUUAACAUCCGCAUUCCAUACACGCACAAAAAUAUAAUUAUGUGUAUAUGUAUGUGUGUGUGUGUGUAUGUACAUAUAUAUGUGUGUGUGUAUAUCUAUAUCUAUAUCUAUAUCUAUCUAUCUAUCUAUCUAUCUAUAUAUAUAUAUAUAUAUGUCCAACCCAUGCUAGCAUGGAAAACGGACGCUAAACGAUGAUGAUGAUGAUGAUGAUAUAUAUAUAUAUAUAUAUAUAUAUAUAUAUAUAUAUAUAUAUAUAUAUCAUCAUCAUCAUCAUCGUUUAACGUCCACUUUCCAUGCUAGCAUGGGUUAUAUAUAUAUAUAUAUAUAUAUAUAUAUAUAUAUAUAUAUAUGUAUAUGUAAAUGUGUUUGUGUUUGUGUACAUUUGUAUAUGUGUGUGUGGGUGUGUGUGUUUGUGUGUGUAUAUAUAUAUAUUUUUUUUCUUACACACACACACACACACACACACACAUAAUGGUGAGCCUCUUCAAUAUUAAUAAUGUCAAAUUUAUUGUGUAAGUUUCAUCAAGUUUCGUCUUAGCUAAGGUGAAUCUUGAAGUCCAAGUAAACUCUAACAUGAUUAAUACACACACACACACACACACACUUACUAAAUUACUGUUGAAACUGUAUUUCUAAGCAACUCUUAUAUUAUGACACAUAUAAAUAUAAUUUCUAUAUGCACAAUAUGUUCAUAGAGAGAAAAAGAAGGAACAGCUGUAUGUACUGCUUAUUUUAACUCUGGUUGGAAACUCCAUGCAGAGAUAAUAUCUGUAGUAUUUCAGCUGUUUCUUCUUUUUCUGAGAGUGAGCAUAUUCUGUACAUAGAUGUAAUGUCUACUACAUUCAUUGUAACAUACAGUGUUGGUUAAAAAUCUACAGAUACAUUUCAUAGGACAUUAUAGGUGCAGGCAUGGCUGUGUAAUAAGAAGCUUGCUUCCCAACCACAUGGUAUUCACACAUUUUUCUUAUAUUUUUCUUAUAUGCUUGUACUGAUGAGUUGUGCUUCAUCUUCCGCGAUUUCAUGCAUGUGUAUUCUAUAUGAAAGAAAAAGCAUUAUGUGAUUAAAUGUUCGAGAUAUGAAAUGUUACGUGGAUGACCUUAUAUUUGUUUGUUCUGCAACCAUAGUUUAAUAUAUAUAUAUAUGGUGAUGUGGUGGUGACACCCUUCGGUCAGACACUGACCAUGGGUUUGCACCUAGAGAGUUACCCUCUGAGGCACAAGUCUGGGCAAGGUUGUUUUUUAUGGAAGACCAGCAGUCGCCCAUGCAUACCGGCCUCCCCUCUCCACGUCACCGUUGUUGUCCAAGGGAAAGGCAAGGGCCGAUACAGCUUGGCACCUGUGACGUCGCAACUCAUUUCUACAGCUGAGUGUGUUUGUUCCUCCACAGUCGCUUGACAACAGUUUCGCAAAAGAGACCAAUAGAAUGAGCACUAGACUUACAAAGAAUAAGUUCUGGGGUUGAUUUGUUCAACUAAAACUCUUUUAAGGUGGUGCUCCAGCAUGGCUGCAGUCAAAUGACUGAAAUGUGUAAAAGAAUAAAAGAAUAUAGAAUACUUAUGUGCAUACAUGCAUAAAUGCAUACACACAUAAGCAGACACACACAUACAUAUAUGCAUAUACAUAUACAUACACACACACACACACACGUACAUAUAUAAGAAUGAGUGCAUAUUAGCAGAAGACAUGCGUAGGUACGUUUGGAGAAAGCUUUGAGAUGAUAUUAACAUUGAUAAUCAAAUCAGUCUAUCAUGGACCAACUCCCACUUUGAAGGUUAUGUAUUUGCUAUCCAGGAACAGGAAAUAGCAACCAAAUACCUGAUGCACAAAAGGGACAGACACCAAAAUGUGAUAACCAAUGUAGGCUUUGUGGAGUUAACAGUAAAGAUAUCACCCACAUUAUAAGCAGUUAUCUAAAAAUGUCAUUGUGGUAUUAUCUACUGAUAAGACAUAAUGUAACCAGGAUAGUAUAUAAUGAGAUUCAUCGGAAGAAUAAUCAUGAGGCCAAAGAAAUAAGGACCCACAGCAUAGUAGAGGCCAUAGCCACUUAUAAUAAGAAGGAGUACUGAUGAAAACCUCAAUGUAAAUGUAAACGUAAUAGUCCUGAUAUAGUGGUUUUUGACAGAGAAGAGAAACUGUGUACAGUAGUAGAAAGUAGCUGCUCAGCAUAUGUUAACAUAAAGCUAAAGAAAGCAAACAAGAAAACGCAUAUGCUGAGCAAUUGAGAAAUCUACAGUUACUCUACCUAGAUUGCAAGUUCAGGUUUAUACCUGUAACUAUUGGGGCACUGGGAUAUGUAACACACUGCCUAAGUACCAAUCUGGAGAAAUUAGGCUUCUCAAAGUCAGAAAAGAGAAAACUGAUUCAAAGACUACAGAUCUAAAGCAUCACUAGAACUGUAAAGAUUUGAAAAACUUUCCAGAAGUUUAUUAUUUAAGUAUAUAUGUGCAUGUCCAGACAUGCACAUAUAUUCUUAAAUAAUAAGUGCUAUAUAGUUAUAUGCAAGAGAAUACAUACAUAAAACAAUACAUACAAAUCUGCACAUGCACUGACUCUAAAUACUGCAUAUAUACACACAUACAUGCAAAAAUACCUUGUUGAUAUUGUUGAAAUACUAUUGAAGCGUCCUUGGGUCUAGGUUAGAAACCAGCUCUUUCUCUAUUGGCAAGAAAUCUUGAAAUGAAACUGACUAAUGACAUACAUGCAGGCACACAUACAUGCAUGCAUACACACAUACAUACAUAAAUGAUACAUACAUACAUAAUACAUACAUACAUACAUACAUACAUACAUACAUACAUACAUACAUACAUACAUACAUACAUACAUACUACAGCUACUCUAUCCAGAUUAACUAUUAGGGCACUGGGAUAUGUAACACACUGCCUAAGUACCAAUCUUGAGAAAUUAGGCUUCUCAAAAUCAUAUGAAAGGAGAAAGCUGCUUUGAAGGCUAUAAAUCCAAGCCAUCACUGAAACUGUAAAAAUCUGUAAAACUUUCCUGAAGUUUAUCAUGGGAAUACAUACAUACAUGCACUGAUUCCAAAUACUGCACACAUACAUACAUACAUGCAAAAAUACCUUGUUGAUGUUGAAAUUCCAUUGAAGUUACCUUGGAUCUUGGUUAGAAACUGGCUCUUUCUCUUUUGACAAAAUAUCUUGAAAUAAAACAGAAUAAUGACAAACAAACAUACAUAUAUACAUACAUUCAUACACACACACACGCGCACGCACACACACACACACACACACACGCAUGCAUGAAGGAUGUAUGGAAAGUAAUGCAAAGUGGAUAAUUAUUUCUUUAUAUUGAACAUAUGCUGUUGAAAAUGUACAUGUUGGCAAAGAUACUUUUCUACUAAAGUAACUCUUAUCCAUGUCCUUCUUCAUUUCAGACAAAUAAAUGGUUUCCAACCAGAAGUUACAUACCAUUACUCAGUUCUUGAUGAAGGAGAGGUGUAAGCUGUCUAGAGAAGGCUGUUGGCUGUUUACAAAAAUGACGUUAUUGUAAAAAGCACUGGACACAGAUGUAUGAAGAACUUUAACCCUUUAGCAUUCAGAUUUCUUUAUGAAAUAUAAUGCUUAUUUAUUCACAUUAAAUUACUUAUUCAUUAUAUUCUAACUUUAAGAUUUCAAUGAUGUCAUUGUAUAUUUCUAGACUGACAUUGCAGGGGAGGUAUGAGAAGUUGGAUCUGGUCAGUUUUAGCAUAAAACACAUAGAAUAUUAGAACCAGUUAAGGCUGGUUUAAAUGCCAAAGGAUCAAUGACUGGGAAACUAGCAUUGAAGACAAACCAAUCAAUGGAAGACUAUCAACUGCUACCACCGACAAAAAUUAUCAGUGAAUGGACAAAUUGAUUUUUGUAGACAGAUGAGUCGCAAUCCAUGAGUUUGCUGCACUAUUGGACUGUAGUUACAACAUAUUACACAUGAUGGUCAAAGACCCUGAGUACUGAAAAGUGGGUGCAAAAUGGAAACCUUGGAAGUGUUUUUCUACUGCCAUUCAGAAUGUCAAUGCCAGUAGCAAACAGUUUGAAUAUUUGAGAAAUUAUUAUUGAUAUGUAUAAUCAAUAAAAUAGAUUUUGUGUGCAAGUUUUGUUUUUCAUUACUGUAUACCAACUUUUGCAGCCCUCUGUAUUUCCUUUGUGGCUUGACAUGUUUUCAUGAAAGAUUGG
rnacentral:lncRNA from 1 species